AACUUCUGAAUGUGAC
rnacentral:rRNA from 1 species